CCGCUCACCUCCGCCAUCUUGGACUACUGAAACCUAACGUGGCUGACGUCAAAGGAGCUUUUUCUUCUCACGCUGUCUGCUGAAGUUCAGGCUGCACCCCCGCCCAGCCUGCUGCUGCUCUGCUGCAGACGGGUCAACUCCUCAUACAGUCCGGCUGCUGAAUCGACAGCAUUGUUGCCAGGUUGUCAUGGCGUCUGAUUGUUGAGUAUCAUGUCACGCGCCCCAUCACAGCCGGACGUCCCUCCGAGCCUGCAGCCGAUCCCAUGGUCGCCAUGACGUUUACCUUGGCAACCACAAGAGGCUGGCUGUUGUGUCACCUCAUGUCAUAAGUCUCCCAUGUGAAGCCUCCAAACACUAACCAAAGUUAUUUUGUAGACUUCUUCAUUGAGGUUCGGUAGGCAGUUGAUAAGUGUUUCUUAGUUUCUUUAUAAGUCUAAAAACAGGUCAUAUGUCAUGUUUUUGUCAUCAAAGCAAACCGUACACUGGGAGGAUUUCAUGCCUUCUCAUACUCAGGCAUAUAACAUCGAAUAGAGCAUAAACAUGAGAUAAAAAACACUUCAAUCUGUUCUCGUGGCCAAUGGCAACACCAUUGGUUUGAUACAGAGCAACCACCAAAGUUUACAGUAUUUAUCACUGUGAAGCUUCAUGUCAUUUUUAUUUAAUCUUAAUUUUCCCUCUCAAAUCAGGUGCCUACUUAUUUUAUAAUAACCUGUGGUGGAAGAAGUAUUCAGAUCUUCUACUUGGGCUUUUGUUUCAGCAGCAUUACUCCCUCUCAAUGCCCUGCCUCCCAGGUAACUCCACUGCUGAACUGGUGCUGCUGGAGGGAGGGAGGGACAGUACACAGACUCUGCACAGCCCUCACAAAAUAUGCAUCAACCAAAUGGAGAAGAAAAACACAUCAACCAUAUGAGGAAGACUUCCUGCUAGAUUGACUUGUACACCUCCAGAGUCAGGAAACAUGCAGGGGGAAUCUCUGCAGACCCAUCACACCCUUCUCCUCUCUGGUAGGAGCUACAGAACACUGUCCACCAAAACAACCAGACACAACAACUAUUUUUCCCACAUGCCAUCACUUUGUUAAAUCAGUCAGAAAACACUAUUAUUUAGCACUAAUCAAUACAUCCACUGUACCUACAAAUUAUAAAUUAUUUAUAUUAUUUAAUAUACGGAUGUAUAUAUGUAAAUAAACAGGCUGCAUAUUGUACAUAAAUGUGUAUACAUGCAUAUAUUGUAGGCCUACAUAAACCACCUACUGUGUGUAUGUAAAGUAUAUUAUUAUGUUAUUAUUAUCAUGCAAUAUUUAUUCCAGCACUUACUGCACUCUAAGUUAACAGAAACAGUUUGAUCUUUAGACAUUGCAUGUUUUUGUCCAUCUAUUAAUGUAAAUUGCGAUUUUUUUAGUUUUAAAGCUAGAGUGAAGA